UACGUAGGUGGCAAGCGUUGUCCGGAUUUACUGGGCGUAAAGGGCGUGCAGGCGGUCUGUUAAGUUCAGGGUGAAAGCUCCCGGCUCAACUGGGAGAGGUCCUUGGAUACUGGCAGACUUGAGGGAGGUAGAGGAGAGUGGAAUUCCCGGUGUAGUGGUGAUAUGCGUAGAUAUCGGGAGGAACACCAGUGGCGAAGGCGGUUACCUGGAGCUUUGCUGACGCUGAUGCGCGAAAGCGUGGGGAGCGAUCCGG
rnacentral:rRNA from 1 species